rnacentral:pre_miRNA from 1 species
UGGACAGAUUAUUGUAUUCGACUGUAUUCACGGCGUGAAACAGAGGAUUACACUGUUUUUAAAACGAAAAGUGAAUCAAUUAACAUAAUAGACUCCU